rnacentral:lncRNA from 10 species
CCUCAUUCAGCUCAAGACAUUGUAUCCUGGACGCUUUUAUAUGCUGUGUGUUCCUCAUUCAGCUCAAGACAUUUUCUGAUUUCUACUGUGGCUCCUUUGACAUAUGGGUUAUUUAGAAGUGUGUUGCUUAAUCCACAAUUGCUUAAUUUCUAAACAUUUGGAGAUUCUCCUCUUAUCUUUCUCUUACUGAAUCUACUGUAAUUCCACUCAGCCCAGAGAACACAGGCUGUGUGACCUCAGUCCUCUUAUGUUUGGCGAAAGGCGCUUUGCGGGAGGAACCUGGACCUCAGUCCUCU